AACGCACAUUGCGCCCAUCAGCAUUCUGGUGGGCAUGCCUGUUCGAGCGUCAUUUCAACCCUUAAGCCCUUGUUGCUUAGCGUUGGGAGCCUACGGCCUGCCCGUAGCUCCUGGAAGACAGUGGCGGAGUCGGUCUCGUACCCCGGACGUAGUAGUCUACAAUCUCGUCCGCCGGUCGGGCUGGCGCCCAGCCGUAAAACAACCCCAAUCCAAAGGUUGACCUCGGAUCAGGUAGGAAUACCCGCUGAACUUAA
rnacentral:misc_RNA from 1 species